ACGACUAAAUGAAACGCAAAUAUGUGGCAAAAACAAUGGUGACAUGGUGAAAACAAGUAAACCUAUAGAUAUCUCCGAAGCCAUACUUAUUUGUCUUUGUUUUGUUAUAGUUUUUUUUUUUUUGUUAAAUAAUACAACUACUUUUGCCCCGGAAACAAGAACUGGACAUCAUGUUGGUGCGAUCCCACAACCCAACAUCGGGUGUGCUGUGUAAACAAGCCGGCCAGGCAACAACAAAAUACUCAAAGGGGGAAGUCUUUACUAGAGCUUGGUGCUUUCCGAAUCCCCUUCUCGGCUGAAACGAAUGGCCAAAAGACCGAACACGUGACAGCAACCGCGUGACUGGGAGCGGGGCUUUGCACAGCGGGGCUGGUGAGUGACGAAACCAGAGCCCUGCCACUGGGCUGGCGUGUACAAUGUGAG